UUUCCCCCAAACCACCGCUAUCCCGAUCCCGAUCCCAAACCCUUCCUCGCACGCGCAAUGAUGCCACCACGCUGAUCGCCGUGAGCUCACCGCCGGCAGUGGCCUCCUCCAGCGUGCCUUGGCCGAGUCUCUCUCCUCCCCCCCCCCUCGUGCGUCUCUCAUCCCUUUCCCUCAUGCGUUUUUGCUUGAUAUCGCCGACGUCGAGCCUUCUCAUCCACCUUCGACCCCAUGACGCCACCGGAUCAUCGUGAGCACCAGCGGGGUUGUUCCUUUGCCUCUGGCCGACCGUCGUUGUCCCUCUUCAGUUCUUGAUCGUGCCCUAGAUUCAUCGGCAACGACCAUUCUUUUCCUCACCCGAUGAUCUUCUCUCACAAUCUCUGCUCUGAUCAUCACUGUUAUUUGUGGCCUCUUGCCGAACACCCCUGGCGACACCAUCUUUCCACCACCAGCCUGCUAUCGUCGGGAAUUCACUACUGUUGGUGGAUAUGAGCAGAGUUGUGACGUUUCAGUACCCUUUUCAUCUUUGGACAGAUCUGGUUACCUUCUGUGUUGUAGCUACCUUGUCUUCUUGGAGGUGUUUGAAGAAAUGCCUUGAGUCUUCUUGUCUCCUCUGUUCGCGCUGGCAGCAUCAUUGGCGGGCACAAAUUGUUGUGUGUUGCUGUUAGAACAGUGGGCAUUCACUAUAAGGAGUUGUGAGAUGAUAAUAGCUCUGCCUAGCACUACUCACCCUUUCCGGCAGCAAGUAUAUUUUCAGCUAUGGAUCACCACUUGAUCUUCCGGGUCUAGAUAGCUUGUAGAUGGUUGGUAUGUCUCUUGGAGUAUCCUGUCUGCCAGGUCCUACGUCACAUCCGAAGACGGUUUCAUCUCGUGUUUGUUUUCUGUUUGUAUAUCCUUUUAUUAUUUUUGGCAUGGUAUUUGUGUGUAGCCAUGUGGUUAUCUUAUGGUUUUGGUGUUGUAUUUGUGUUUAAGCCGUGCCGACACGCAUUGUAUUUAUUUGGUUUGU